AUGUUGUCUUGGGUCACCAUCAAGAUCUUGACCUGCCUAACUGAUGUGACUCAGGGAAAGAGGCUGCUGGCAUCUCUGGUGCUAUUUCCUUUUCCCAUCCUGAGCGUGCACGGAGCCAUUCCCAGAGAGUUGGAGCUCUUCCACAAGAUGGUGCCGAGCUCUGUCGCUCACAAGUGGUGCGUAAUUGAAAUACGGCACACAUCCUCCUGGGGAAGGAAGAGAUUAUCUCAACGAAAACAGCAGAUGUAUUUUGGAGCGACGAGACAAAUGUUUAGUGAAAUUAAAGUUAUUCAUGUGCAGUCACACAGGGAAUAUUUGCAUGAUAUUUUACUAAUUGCUCCAAAAUCUGACUUGUAGCAAAUAAACAAACAUAGGAGAAAAAAUAAGCCA
rnacentral:lncRNA from 1 species